CUAAGACGUUGAUAGGCAGGGUGUGGACGCGUUGUAAGGCGUUAAGCUAACCUGUACUAAUUGCCCGAGAGGCUUAACCAUACAACGCCUAA
rnacentral:rRNA from 1 species